GCGGCUCUGGUAGAAAUGAGAAGGCUGAAAACCGCUAGGGAGUAUGGGUUGGUUGAUUUACCGAUGGCGGUGAUCCCGAUGAGCUUGUGGUGGUUGGUUCCUCAAUAUGUAUUGUUCGGGGUUUCGGACGUAUUCACGAUAGUUGGUCUGCAAGAGUUCUUCUACGAUCAGAUGCCUGAGGCUUUGAGGAGCGUUGGGCUUGCACUCUUCAUCAGCAUUAUUGGCAUUGGGAGCUUCAUUAGUAGUUUGCUUGUUGCGAUAAUAGAUAAAGCAACUGGC
rnacentral:misc_RNA from 1 species